rnacentral:lncRNA from 1 species
ACGGUAAGUCACCGACUUCAGGCGGGAUCUGACCGGAUAUCUGACCGGCGAAUAUGGUUAGGGAGAUGACGCGGUGGUUAACGGUGGCGUCGCCGCAUUCGAGGCAGUACCAGGAGCAGCAGUCGGUUUCGGGGUGCCACGAGGCGAGGUGGUAAGGGUUGUUUAGGGACUUCUUGAUCUUGAGGAGGGUCUUUUUGUCGUUUUGGUUACAUUGAUCUUUUGAUGACGCGUUCGCGAGGUGUGUGAUGAAAAACAAGAGCGAGAAAAGCAGUGUCGAAUGUAUUUUAUUAUCCAUGUUGUAUGGUUUUGAUUUUGAGUUUUUGUUCUUGAAAGUGUGACAGUGAUAUAUACACACUAGAGAUUAGAGAUUUGAUUUGAUAGGAACCUUAAUAGUCAAUACGUAUGCUCAAGAUGUCGGUGUUGAAUUUGGUUGGCUAGUGCAAAACUAGUGGCUGUCCACAUGUGCCACUUGAGUACUACUACUCUCUCCAUCACGGCUUCUUUUUUUGAAAAAGGGCUUUCCGGGCUAUUUAUUUUAUGGGAAAUUGGGUGAGAUAACAUAAAAAAAAACCAUAAUUCACUAUUUAACUAAAAUUUCAUUAUCUCUCAUCUUUUCUCUUUCUAUCUCUCUCUACUUUUUCUCUACAAGACUAAUUUUUCUUUUUUUCUUAGCUAUUUCACAAAUAAAUCUUUAUUUUAUUUUAUUUUUCUAAAAAAUUAUUCGUAUACUUAUAUAGUUAUAUAAAUUAUGGUUUACAAUACCACAUGAAAGACUUUAAAGCUUCAGCAUAUCAGAUUUACUUUUGAUAAAAUUUGAAACAAUAACCACGAAUAGUAUAUAUUGUUUUAUUUAUUUAAAAACUGGAGGUUGGAUUCGAAAAUUUAGAUGCACCAAAAAAAAAAAUAUACUAGAAACAAGUUUGGUUGAUUAACAAAAAGUUUUGAAGAUUAUACAACAAAUUUAUCAAAGCAAGUUUGGUUGAUUAUUUUUAUUAAUCAAUCCAAAUAAAGAUACAGUUGUUUAUAGACUUAUUGGAUUAUUUGUAGAAGUAUAAUAAUAAUAGCUUGGCUGCUUGAAUCUUUUACUUGCAACUAUCAAGAGGUGCACCACACAAACACUUGUUGUGAAAAUAGGAAUAAGUAUCGAAUUCCUGAAGUGUCCCUCCUGUGGGGAUGUGUCCACACAAUCUGUUAUAGCUAACAUUGAAGAACUGAAGAGGAGCUUCGGUCCACUGAACCGGGAUAUUCCCUGUGAUUCCGUUGUGGUUCAAGUCCAAGAUACCAAGUGUCUUAGGGAUCACAACUCUAGAGAGAUCGAACUGUAACAUGUUUCUUGAUAAAUCAAUGUACCACGUCGUUUUGUUGGCUCCAAACAACAUCGAAGCAUCGCCUCCGAGCUUGUUCCGAGAGAAAUCUAUCCGGUUAAAAUCAAGAUUGCCUAGUGUUUUUGGUAUAUAACCGGAGAGCUGGUUGUGUGAUAGGUAAAGAUCAGGUACUUUUGCUGGAAACGACCCAAAUGACUCUGGUAUAGAACCUGCUUGCAUGAAAAGUUUCAUAAUCAGGUUUAGAAAGAAAGGUAAAUAAAUGCCCUUUUUACAAAAAAAAAAAAUAGAAAGGUAAAUAGGUAAAAAGAGAAAAAGAGAGUUUAUUUACCUGUAAGCUUGUUCCUGAUCCUGCUGAGAUCAAGGGACAAAAGAUUAGGUAACAAAGAUAGAGAACUCGGUACUGAACCAGAGAGAUCGUUGAAGGAAAGGUCUAUGAACUGGAGAUUCUUGAGCUCACUGAGAAAACCAGGAACCGGACCGGUCAGAUUCGUCCAGCUGAGCCUGAGGCUCCGGAGAUACUUGAGCUUGGUGAUGGUGCGUGGGAUCUGACCGGUGAGGUUAGUGAGUUUGCGGAAGACAAGGGUCUGUAGAUAAGACAAGUCACCAACCUCAGGCGGGAUCUGACCGGAGAUCUGACCGGAAAAUAUGGUUAGGGCGGUGACGCGGUGGUUAACGGUGGCGUCGCCGCACUCGAGGCAGUACCAGGAGCAACAGUCUGUUUGAGGGUCCCACGAGGCGAGGUGGUAAGGGUUGUUUAGGGCUUUCUUGAUCUUGAGGAGGGUGGUUUUGUCAUCUUGGUUACAUAGGUUUUUAGAGAAAGAAGUCGUGAGGAAUGUGAACAUGGAGAAGAACAAAAGCAGUGUCGUUGUCUUAUCCAUGCUGUCGUUG